GGAGAAGUGCCAGAGCGGUUGAACGGGGCGCUCUCGAAAAGCGUUGUGCCGGAAACGGUACCGAGGGUUCGAAUCCCUCCUUCUCCG
rnacentral:tRNA from 1 species